UACGAAGGGGGCUAGCGUUGUUCGGAAUUACUGGGCGUAAAGCGCACGUAGGCGGACUAUUAAGUCAGGGGUGAAAUCCCGGGGCUCAACCCCGGAACUGCCUUUGAUACUGGUAGUCUCGAGUCCGGAAGAGGUGAGUGGAAUUCCGAGUGUAGAGGUGAAAUUCGUAGAUAUUCGGAGGAACACCAGUGGCGAAGGCGGCUCACUGGCCCGAUACUGACGCUGAGGCACGAAAGCGUGGGGAGCAAACAGG
rnacentral:rRNA from 1 species